rnacentral:rRNA from 1 species
GACGUAGGGCGCGAGCGUUGUCCGGAUUUAUUGGGCGUAAAGGGCUCGUAGGCGGCUUGUCGCGUCGUCCGUGAAAACUUGGGGCUCAACCCCAAGCUUGCGGUCGAUACGGGCAGGCUAGAGUUCGGUAGGGGGGACUGGAAUUCCUGGUGUAGCGGUGAAAUGCGUAGAUAUCGGAAGGAACAUCAGUGGCGAAAGCGACUUCCUGGACCAAUACUGACGCUCAUGUGCGAAAGCGUGGGGAGCAAACAGG